rnacentral:rRNA from 1 species
UCGGGAAUUUUGCCCAAUGGACGAAAGUCUGAGGCAGCAACUCCGCGUGAGGGACGAAGGCUCUCGGGUCGUAAACCUCUUUUCUCAGGGAAGAUCCAAGACGGUACCUGAGGAAUAAGCCACGGCUAACUACGUGCCAGCGGCCGCGGUAAUACGUAGGUGGCAAGCGUUGUCCGGAUUUACUGGGCGUAAAGAGCGCGCAGGCGGCUGGUCAAGUCCGAUGUGAAAUCUCCCGGCUCAACUGGGAAACUGCAUCGGAAACUGAUCGGCUUGAAGGUGGGAGAGGGUAGUGGAAUUCCCGGUGUAGUGGUGAAAUGCGUAGAUAUCGGGAGGAACACCAGUGGCGAAGGCGACUACCUGGCCCACUCUUGACGCUGAGGCGCGAAAGCUAGGGGAGCGAACGGGAUUAGAUACCCCGGUAGUCCUAGCCGUAAACGAUGAACACUAGGCGUAGUCGGUAUCGACCCCGGCUGUGCCGUAGCCAACGCAUUAAGUGUUCCGCCUGGGGAGUACGGCCG